rnacentral:rRNA from 1 species
GAUGAACCAGGAGCUUGCUCUUGGGGAUUAGUGGCGAACGGGUGAGUAACACGUGAGUAACCUGCCCUUGACUCUGGGAUAAGCGUUGGAAACGACGUCUAAUACCGGAUACGAGCUUCAGCCGCAUGGCUAGGAGCUGGAAAGAAUUUCGGUCAAGGAUGGACUCGCGGCCUAUCAGCUUGUUGGUGAGGUAAUGGCUCACCAAGGCGACGACGGGUAGCCGGCCUGAGAGGGUGACCGGCCACACUGGAACUGAGACACGGUCCAGACUCCUACGGGAGGCAGCAGUGGGGAAUAUUGCACAAUGGGCGAAAGCCUGAUGCAGCAACGCCGCGUGAGGGACGACGGCCUUCGGGUUGUAAACCUCUUUUAGCAGGGAAGAAGCGAAAGUGACGGUACCUGCAGAAAAAGCACCGGCUAACUACGUGCCAGCAGCCGCGGUAAUACGUAGGGUGCAAGCGUUGUCCGGAAUUAUUGGGCGUAAAGAGCUCGUAGGCGGUUUGUCGCGUCUGCUGUGAAAUCCCGAGGCUCAACCUCGGGUCUGCAGUGGGUACGGGCAGACUAGAGUGCGGUAGGGGAGAUUGGAAUUCCUGGUGUAGCGGUGGAAUGCGCAGAUAUCAGGAGGAACACCGAUGGCGAAGGCAGAUCUCUGGGCCGUAACUGACGCUGAGGAGCGAAAGGGUGGGGAGCAAACAGGCUUAGAUACCCUGGUAGUCCACCCCGUAAACGUUGGGCGCUAGAUGUGGGGACCAUUCCACGGUUUCCGUGUCGUAGCUAACG